CUGUCGUCGAACGUUGGGAACACCUUGAAUGGGAUGCACGACACAACCGACAGGAAGCAUUUUAUCUAACGCGCCGUUGGUUCUUUUCAUUUUGAACGGAGGCGAUACGUGAUGCGAGCGACACAAACGUUUCCAUGACCUAAUCCAAAGUAACCUCUUACCUCGGACCGUUACGGGGAAUCGAUAAUCGAUAAAUGUGUUAAGGGCACACUUCAGCCCGAUUGAUCCGGAGGGAGGAUAUAUUCCAUCGAUCGACGGCACGGUCCGGUGCUCCUUUUCACCAGGCUAUCGUUUUCGACGGGGAAUCGUGUACAGGCCGUUUUCGGUACACACGGCAAAUUGGAUUCGCUUCCCGCGGAUCGACGGGGCCGUGAGUCGAAGAACGGCCGCACACGCUUUGGUUGGUAGCUAUUCGAUUAUUACGCGUUAACCAGACAACGUGGUCCAUGAUUUACGGCAGACUCAGAGACGUAAUCGAGAUACAAACACCGGUACAGCCGUUGUAAAUAUUUGCCGUGACACGGAUUCACCUUGCGACGAUUGUACCGACGGCCACCCGUGUUUCCGCCGAGUUUCGGAACGGGGAUUGGACUGUUUGUCGGUGCCAACUUCGCCGUGUUGUUCACGCAAAUAUUGAGAUUCUAAGGGAUAUGAGGUCUUUGGAGGAAUUUUGGUGGAGCGGGUCGAUUUGGAUAGUAUAUUGGAAUUUUGUGGUGAUGCUAUGGUCAAAUUUGAAUUCAAAUUUAAAAUUAAAUUCUAAUUCGCAUUCAGAUUAAAAAUUUAAUUCUAAUUCUAAUACUAAUUCUAAAUUAAAUUGUAAU